CCUACGUGAGGCUGCAGUGAGGAAUAUUGGUCAAUGGGCGCGAGCCUGAACCAGCCAAGUAGCGUGAAGGAUGACUGCCCUACGGGUUGUAAACUUCUUUUAUAAAGGAAUAAAGUGAGGCACGUGUGCCUUUUUGUAUGUACUUUAUGAAUAAGGAUCGGCUAACUCCGUGCCAGCAGCCGCGGUAAUACGGAGGAUCCGAGCGUUAUCCGGAUUUAUUGGGUUUAAAGGGAGCGUAGAUGGGUUGUUAAGUCAGUUGUGAAAGUUUGCGGACUAACCGUAAAAUUGCAAGUGAUACUGGCAGUCUUGAGUACAGUUGAGGUAGGCGGAAUUCGUGGUGUAGCGGUGAAAUGCUUAGAUAUCACGAAGAACUCCGAUUGCGAAGGCAGCUUACUAAACUGCCACUGACAUUGAUGCUCGAAAGUGUGGGUAUCAAACAGGAUUAGAUACCCGAGUAGUC
rnacentral:rRNA from 1 species